rnacentral:rRNA from 1 species
UACGUAGGGACCGAGCGUUGUCCGGAUUCAUUGGGCGUAAAGAGCUCGUAGGCGGCUGCUCAAGUCGAAUGUGAAAACUCGAGGCUCAACCUCGAGCCUGCAUUCGAUACUGGGCGGCUAGAGUCUGGUAGGGGGGGAUCUGGAAUUCCUGGUGUAGCGGUGGAAUGCGCAGAUAUCAGGAGGAACACCGGUGGCGAAGGCGGGAUCCUGGGCCAGUACUGACGCUGAGGAGCGAAAGCGUGGGGAGCAAACAGG